AACGUACGCUGGCGGCACGCCUAACACAUGCAAGUCGAACGAAGUAGCAAUACUUAGUGGCAGACGGGUGAGUAACAUGUGGGUAUCUGCCCUUUGGCCUGGAAUAACACGAGGAAAACUCGCGCUAAUACCGGAUAAGUCUUUACGGAGAAAGCUUUAUGCACCAUUGGAUGAGCCCGCACUCGAUUAGUUUGUUGGUGGGGUAAUGGCCUACCAAGACUGUGAUCAAUAGCUGAUUUGAGAGGAUGAUCAGCCACAUUGGGACUGAGACACGGCCCAAACUCCUACGGGAGGCAGCAGUGGGGAAUCUUGCACAAUGGAGGAAACUCUGAUGCAGCGAUGCCGCGUGAGUGAAGAAGGCCCUUGGGUUGUAAAGCUCCUUCGUCGGGGAAGAAAAUGACUGUACCCGAAUAAGAAGGUCCGGCUAACUUCGUGCCAGCAGCCGCGGUAAUACGAAGGGACCUAGCGUAGUUCGGAAUUACUGGGCUUAAAGAGUUCGUAGGUGGUUGAAAAAGUUAGUGGUGAAAUCCCAGAGCUUAACUCUGGAACUGCCAUUAAAACUUUUCAGCUAGAGUAUGAUAGAGGAAAGCAGAAUUUCUAGUGUAGAGGUGAAAUUCGUAGAUAUUAGAAAGAAUACCAAUUGCGAAGGCAGCUUUCUGGAUCAUUACUGACACUGAGGAACGAAAGCAUGGGUAGCGAAGAGGAUUAGAUACCCUCGUAGUCCAUGCCGUAAACGAUGUGUGUUAGACGUUGGAAAUUUAUUUUCAGUGUCGCAGCGAAAGCGAUAAACACACCGCCUGGGGAGUACGACCGCAAGGUUAAAACUCAAAUGAAUUGACGGGGACCCGCACAAGUAGUGGAGCAUGUGGUUUAAUUCGAAGAUACGCGCAGAACCUUACCAACACUUGACAUGUUCGUCGCGACUCUAAGAGAUUAGAGUUUUCGGUUCGGCCGGACGAAACACAGGUGCUGCAUGGCUGUCGUCAGCUCGUGUCGUGAGAUGUUGGGUUAAGUCCCGCAACGAGCGCAACCCUCACUUUUAGUUGCCAUCAUUAAGUUGGGCACUCUGAAAGAACUGCCAGUGAUAAGCUGGAGGAAGGUGGGGAUGACGUCAAGUCCUCAUGGCCCUUACGUGUUGGGCUACACACGUGCUACAAUGGUAUCUACAACAGGAAGCAAGACUGCGAGGUCAAGCAAAUCCUUAAAAGAUACCUCAGUUCGGAUUGCACUCUGCAACUCGAGUGCAUGAAGCUGGAAUUACUAGUAAUCGUGGAUCAGCGUGCCACGGUGAAUGCGUUCCCGGGUCU
rnacentral:rRNA from 1 species